GAAGUUGGAUUCGCUAGUAAUCGCGCAUCAGCCAUGGCGCGGUGAAUACGUUCCCGGGCCUUGUACACACCGCCCGUCAAGCCAUGGGAGCCGGGAGCGCUUGAAGUGCGUCGCCGCGAGGCGCGCCCUAGAGCGAGACCGGUGACUGGGGCUAAGUCGUAACAAGGUAUC
rnacentral:rRNA from 1 species